UACGUAGGGGGCAAGCGUUGUCCGGAAUCAUUGGGCGUAAAGCGCGUGUAGGCGGCCCGAUAAGUCCGCUGUGAAAGUCCAGGGCUCAACCCUGGAAUGCCGGUGGAUACUGUCGGGCUCGAGUCCGGAAGAGGCGAGUGGAAUUCCGGGUGUAGCGGUGGAAUGCGUAGAGAUCGGGAGGAAUACCUGUGGCGAAGGCGGCCUACUGGGCCGGACCUGACGCUGAGACGCGAAGGCGUGGGGAGCGAACGGG
rnacentral:rRNA from 1 species